AGUGUGACAGCGGCAGAGCUGGUGGAAGGCAGCGCAGGUACAGCGAGUAAAUUCGUAGCUGUGGAAUUCUUGGAUCAAAUGAAGGAGAUGGAAGGUGGGGAAAGCGGAGCCCAGCGACUGAAGACUUCGUGUUCACUGAACCUGAACCUGUGGAAAAUAUGAAACUAUGAAGAUAUUAUGCUUCUAGAAGCAGAUAAAUACGAUGGUGAAAUUGUGCCUCUCAUAUCUCAGUCUUGUAGCCUGACCUUGACUCCCGAGUUCCGUGAUGCCUUCAAAACAGCAAGUCAUUCUCAUACCAAACGAAAAACGAGUUUGCCUUUUCUGCACCAUUGAGAGUUUCGGAACAAUGUGCAAAUUCAAGUCACCAUCAUGUUGUCUUGCUGACUGUCUCGUGUGACAAGGAUAGCAUUUGGGUCUCUUGCUUCUACUCAUAGCCUUCUGUUUGUUGCUCGUCCUGCAACCGCUGAGCACCAUAUAUAUAUGUAGUCAUACAACAGCUGUUUUGCACAUUUUAAAUUUGUCUUGUGAAUGUUGUCACUUGCUUCUUAUAGGUUACCAAUUAGCCUUAUGUGCUGCUCAUGGAUAUAAACCUUUCUGCAAUCAUACAUUUGCAAGAGUUUGAGUUAGAAUGGCAUCCAAGCUGAAAAGUGUAAAAAAUCGGUGAUAGCAGUGAAAGAAUGGUGAAGAGGGCAAGAAAGGUGAUGUCUUGAGCAAACAAAAUGAGAAUUCUUGAAAGUUUUGUAAGUGGUGAAAGCAAGACCUGUGUAGGGCAUUGCUUUGAUUUGAACGAAUCUAUGGUUCAUAUAAUACAGAACAAUGAGAAAGUUAUUAGGGCCAGUGCAUGAAGGGGCCUACCAAUAUCUUUGACAAAAUAACUCAUAACUUGAAAUACCAACGUAGAGAAAAUGGGAAAAGAUUUGCCUCUGCGACUUCUAAAACAGAGACACUGCGUACACCUCUUUCUAUGUGUGUCAUCUGCCAGUGAGCGUCAAAACCUUGCAAGCUUAAGUUUCUCUCUGGAAGAAAAGUUCUAUCGUUUACUGCAAGUAAUAGGUGGUAACAUAGGUUUAAGAAACACUAAAUGCUGCAGUCUGUAUGAAAAGAAGUGUCUGGCAGAUGAAGCAGAUCAUGAGGCUGCUAAAGAGUAUCCUGGAUGCCCAAAGAAAGUGAAGAAAUUAGCUACUUGCCCCAACAUGUCUUCAGUGCCGAUGAAAUGUCUUGUUCUGGAAGCACAUACCUACUUGCACAUGUUACAAAGAAUGGAAAAAAAAACAGAGGUUUCAAGCCUGGAAAAGACAUGCUCAAAUUUCUCUGUUCCAGUGCUUCUGGCAACUUUAUGCUUAAAGCCAUGUUGCUUCACAGAUUCUGAAAGCCUUGUCCAAAUUUCUACUUAUCUACUUAUUUAUUUAUUAUUUUGUUUUUGGCCACACCUGGCAGUGCUCAGGGCUGACUCCUGACUCUGCACUCAGGGAUCACUCCCGGAGAUCCUCAGGAGGUCGGGGAUUGAACCCAGGUUGGCCAUGUGCAAGUCAAGUGCAUCCAUGCCUUUUCAUAAGAGAAUGCCAGGAAUGUUUUUCUAUCAAUUGAAGGUAAUCCAUAAAGUAUGGAUCACUGAGAAAUUAUUUUGCGGUGGUGUAUGAAGUGUCUUGCUCCUAAGUUUAGGUAGUAUUUAGAUUAAACCAUUUUGAAUUCAAAGUGCUGCUGAUUCUGCUCUCAUCUCCCACUGGCAAAAGGGUAACGUAGUAAGUGAUGAUCCUUGUGUUAAAGAAUCUCCAUUUUCCCUUCCCCCAAUACAACCUCAGUUUUUCAAUUAUUAUAUCUAGGAGUGCUAAGAAUUGUCCCAGUGUACUAUACUUGGCAUAUAUUUGACCACUUGCAGGGCUUAAGAGGGAAGACUCCAGAUCUUACUGUCAAAGUAUCUUGGCAAAACUUCUCCAUUUGUAAUGCUUUACCAGUGAUAGGAGAAUCCUUGUGAGAAACCUAACAAUCCACUCUUAAUUGAGCCUGGUGGAAACUUUGAAAUGAAGUUAUAACUGAUUUAGAAGUUUCCAUCGAGUGAUAGAAAAAUGGAAAGGUUUCUAGCUGCUGCAAAAUGUUUGGGUGAAGGUUUUAAGGACAUUGAAUUAAGUGACAUUGCUGAACUGUUCGAUUCUCCCCUUAGAAGAUAAGUGAGAAAUAUUUCAGAUAUGUAAUUGCAUCAAAUAUUGGUAAAGGAGGUCAGCAGAGGUUACCAUUAAGAACUCAAAGAUUUUGAAGCAUCACUUAACAAAUCAAAAUGCCACGAUGAGUCAGAGGAAAGAGACCCUUCCAUGGAAAAUUUAUUGACUUUCAGACAAGGCUUAAAUGAUAAUUUACACUCCUAUUACGUAGUAAUAAGAAACCUUCAACGGCAGAACAAUAAAGCCCUAUCUCUGCUUAUUUCAAUAGGGGUGAAGAGUCUGAACUUAUCAGGUGUAUCAUUCAAGCCCAGUCUACGAAGUGCAGACACAAUGGCCACAGGCAAAUAGCCGAUUCUGAUUCCAGCAGGUCUAAUGUUGUGAAGAUUCAUGUGAAGUAGCAUGGAAGUAGAACAGAAAAGUCUACCUUACUUUCCUUCAGACAAAAGUUAUGAUUGUCCCACCUAGAUAUCAGAGGGAAAUAGAGAAAUAGAAAUUAAUUGCUGGUCACUGUUGCCUGUGCUAAUCUAAUGAAAUACCACUCAGAUACACUUAGUAUUUUAUUUUAGUGAUAAAAAAAUUCUCUUGGCUUUCAUAAUAUUCCCCAAAUAUUAUCAAUUCCUCAAAGAAAAUUCUCCUACAAUGAAUAUUUGAACCCUAGUACCUUAGGGAAAGGGCUAUUUUACUUGAAUGGACUAUUUGAUUUUUUUUCUUAGGGUUGACAAAUACUUCAAUUCUUACUAAGCCAAACUUAAUAUCUCAACAGUAAGGAUAAGUGAAGCUCUUUUGACAUUAGCUUCAAAGAUAAUUUGUCUUUUAGCACUUUGUUUUACAGUGCCUACUGGUUGCUCUUGGAAGGCAGUGUGUUUGUAAUGGUUUUCUGCAUUUUUGUUGGUUGCUAAUUCAGAAGAAGCUACUAGUGUUCAUUUAAGUAGACUAUUUCUGUUCUCACAUUUGGUUUCCUCAGUGGUUUGUGCAGUUGGAUAUAUUCCAGAAAAGGGAUAUUGAUAUGCAUUGGGGAUACAGUGAUUUCUGUCACCAGCCCAGCCUGGAGGUCUGAAUGGCAGUCACCUUUCUCUUAAGUUUUAAAUGAUGAGAGAAGAGGGGGAAAAUCCACGCAAGUCAAAAGGGUUGAUUACAUAGUUGCUGUUGAGAUGCCAGACAUUCCUCAAGAAGUUGAAAAGACUGAUGAGAGUUGAAACCCAUCAAAAUGUACUGUGGCUCUAGUGACAUGCCACAGUACCAGAGGAGCUCAUGGUCUUGCUCUAAGCCACGGUGGUUCUCAACACUCAAUGCACAUUACAAUCAUGAAGAGGGCUUUGAAAAGUACAGAUUUCUACAAACUGCCUUAUUGUGUUAUAUGUGUUAUUAUUUAAAAAAUUAUCACUGUGGUGUAAUGUGUGGUUUGGAGUAAUGCAUUGCUUCCUCCUAGUAAAGAGAUCCUAGUACAAUGAAAGGGGAAAGGGCUGGAGAGAUCAUAUAGUGUAUAGGUGCUUAUCUUGCACACGGCUUCAGUGUCAGGUAUCACAUAUUGUCCCCUAGCUGAAAUUUUAGGAACAUGUGAAAAUUAAGUCUAACAAAAUGGUUGAAAAAUUUCUUUGAGUAUAUUUUAUAUACACAUUGAGUGGAAAAAAUCUUUCUGUUGUCAUAUGGUUAGUUUUUUUUUUCCUUUAGUAUUAUGAAGACCAUGGAAGUUUACCCUAUUUUUUCACAUAUUUAACCACUGGCAAAAAUAAAAAAAAAUGUGAAAUGAGAAAGGACAUUUCAGGUUGCUGAAAUUUGCAGAAAAUAUUAGAAAUACUGCCAUUGCAUUUUAAAAGAAACUUUUGUUUGUUUAAAACUUUCAAGAUUAAAAUGCAGAGACAGUUUUUCAAACUACACCAUUUGGAUUACAUUGCCACCACCAUCUGAGUGCUGAUAAAGGGCUUUUACACUGUGUAUUGUCUCUGGUUGUGUGAAACAUGUUCAUGUUGUGAAAUACAUCAAUCACUGAACUUUACAUAGUAUUACCUUUGGAUGGCCUUAGAUGUCAGUGUGUAGUGAUUUAAGAAUUUAUAAAUAAAUUGAUAUGCUACUAACAGAACAUGCAUGGUCUUAAUAACCUUGAAAUAAAAUAGGCAAAGAACAAAGGGAUAAAUAAUACAUUUCAUUGGCAUGGUUAACAAAUAGUAAAUUAAAUAUGAAUCUAAUGUAUUUGAAACAUUGCACUCCAUCUCUCUUGAAUUACUACAUAAAGUCAAAGAUAUGUGAUACAUCAUUACAAACAUCUCAAACCAACUUUUAAUUAACUGACAGUGGUAUGAUGAGUACCAUAAUGAAGAAAAGUUGGGGUUUAAAGUGAGAGUGAUAGUACAUCAAGUAGGGCAUUUACCUUGCAUGCCCUAGGUUUGAUCCUCGGGCAUGCAAGGUAAAUGGACCCGGGUUUGAUCCUCGGCCUCCCAUAUGGUCCCCUGAGCAAUGCCAGGAGUGAUUCCUGGGUGCAGAGCCAGGAGUAACCCCUGAACAUAGCUUUGUGGACCUAAAAGCCAAAAAAAAAAGAAAAAGAAAGAAAAUAGUAAAAGCAUAGUUCUUGGCUUCUUGUCUGCCUGACAACUCCCUCCCUUUGGAUGAGUGGUGUUUAGUCCUACCAGAGCAGAAUAACUUUGUGCUGAGAGAAGUCAGCAUAUAACCUAGACUUUGGAACCAGACAGGCCUACAUUCAAUACUGUUCUUGUCAAUUACCAGCUAUGUGACUGUGGGCAUGUUUCUUAACCAUCUCUCACUUGACCAUCCUAAUCAUCUCAUUCUAACUUGUAAAAUGGGGUUCAAAAAUACCUGCAUUAAACUAUUUCUGUGAGAUUACAUGAAAUGCUUAUACAGUGCCUGGUACAUGGUAACUGCUCAGUAAUUGUUACUAUAUCAAUGCAUAAUUAUUAUGAACUAGCAUAAUAGAGCUUGAAUAUGAUAGUUUACUCCUGUCUUUGGAAAGGUUUACUGAUUUUGUAUUUUAACAAAUUUUGUCAAAAGAAGGUAUGCAUGGUGAUUUUAAGAGAACUGAAAUAUUUUUAUUUAUCUAUGAGAGAUAUAUGAAUCUAUAAUCCCUUUGUGCCUUUGUUACUUUGUGACCUAAAGUUAGUCUAUAUUUUAAUGUUGUUACUACUGUAUGAUAUUUUAAUAUGUUUAUUAGAAGUAAUCAUAUUUUACUAUACAUGUAUCCUAUUCUCUAUAAAAUAAUAUGACCAAGUUGAUCUAAUGUUUAAUGUUGGUCUAUCCAUGUUAUAUAAGCUAAAACCAUAUAAGACCUGCUUUGCUUAAACCUACCCCAAUACCCCCACCACCCAUACUAGCUCUUCUACCCUUGAGAGAAAUUGGAUGCCUUGCUAGUUGAGGACAAUUACUCAUAAUUAGUUUCUGAAUUUUUCUGUAUUUUAUGUAUUUAAUGACAUAUGAUUAAUUUAAACCAGUGAUAUUCAGAAUGAUGACUGUUCAUCAUGACACUUAAUGGUGUGUACUGAACAACAGAACUGCACUGCCUUAACCCAAACCCUUCACUUCCACAUAAUAUGUAUGAUUAUAGUGACCUCAUAACUCAUACACAAUCCUUAAAUAUCUCUACUUGAAGUAUCUGGUGUUCUAGUAUAUAUAGCUAAUUGUUGUUGACAUUCCAUCCUCUUGCUUCUUGACUAACUUGCUUGAUACGCAGUUCUGAUGAUGGUAUUUUGUUGUUCAAAAAACUUGUGGUUGCUUGUUUUCUGUACAUAUUUCACUGUUCAGUCUUGAAAUCAUGGUUCAGUCCCAGUGAAGCUCAACUAGAUUUUUUUUUCCUGAACCAGAUAGAUCUCUCUGUCAUAUACACACAUGAUAGUUCUUGUUUUCCUCAACUUUAAUCUAAAUACUAAUAAUCUUUAGCCUAUAAUUAAACUUUGCUUUCUUAAAUUCAUCACUUAAACUCUGGUAUCAUUAGUAAAUUCAGAAAUUAGACUUAUUACCCGAGGUAAAGGUAAUAAGUCUAACGAGCUCUCCUUUUUUUCUUCU